UACGUAGGGUGCAAGCGUUGUCCGGAAUCAUUGGGCGUAAAGAGCGUGUAGGCGGCCCCAUAAGUCCGCUGUAAAAGUCCAGGGCUCAACCCUGGAAAGCCGGUGGAUACUGUGGGGCUAGAGUCCGGAAGGGGCGGGUGGAAUUCCUGGUGUAGCGGUGAAAUGCGCAGAUAUCAGGAGGAACACCAAUGGCGAAGGCAGCCCGCUGGGACGGUACUGACGCUGAGACGCGAAAGCGUGGGGAGCAAACAGG
rnacentral:rRNA from 1 species